rnacentral:ncRNA from 2 species
UUCUUAUCGCGAGAGGUGGAGGGACUGGCCCGAUGAAACCCGGCAACCGUUAAACAGCAAUCCUGUUUAAAAUGGUGCCAAUUCCUGCAAAGCGCAUGCUUUGGGAGAUGAGAG